CCUACGGGGGGCAGCAGUGGGGAAUAUUGCGCAAUGGGCGAAAGCCUGACGCAGCGACGCCGCGUGAGGGAUGACGGUCUUCGGAUCGUAAACCUCUGUCAGCAGGGAAGAACGGUCACUGUGCUAAUCAGCGGUGAAUUGACGGUACCUGCAAAGGAAGCACCGGCGAACUCCGUGCCAGCAGCCGCGGUAAUACGGAGGGGGCGAGCGUUGAUCGGAAUUACUGGGCGUAAAGCGCUCGUAGGCGGUAUGUCAAGUCAAGGGUGAAAUCCCCGCGCUCAACGUGGGAACUGCCUUUGAAACUGGCAAACUUGAGUGUGUGAGAGGAUAGUGGAAUUCCAGGUGUAGGAGGGAAAUCCGUAGAAAUCUGGAGGAACAUCAGGGGCGAAGGCGACUAUCUGGCACAUAACUGACGCUGAGGAGCGAAAGCGUGGGUAGCAAACAGGAUUAGAUACCCGGGUAGUC
rnacentral:rRNA from 1 species